CACCCAUGAUGAACAUCAGUGCUAGGCUCCUAGGCAAUUCAUGCAAAAUUUGAAAAUAAUGAUUUGCUUUGAGAGAUGGUGAUCCAGAUAUUGUUGGAAGCGAUAAAGGGUAUUGUCAGAGAGCAAAUAGGACUUGCAAUAUUAGGGGUAUUGGAUAGCCAGCUCAAAUACUAUUAUACUAGAAGUGAUAUUUUUUAAUAUUAUGUAUUUGAGCAGCGUUGAGCCUUAAGCCCUAUUCUUUUAUAAACUCAUGAGUUGUGCUUGUUUUCAUUUU